rnacentral:rRNA from 1 species
GAUGAACGCUGGCGGCGUGCCUAAUACAUGCAAGUCGAGCGAAUGGAUUAAGAGCUUGCUCUUAUGAAGUUAGCGGCGGACGGGUGAGUAACACGUGGGUAACCUGCCCAUAAGACUGGGAUAACUCCGGGAAACCGGGGCUAAUACCGGAUAACAUUUUGAACCGCAUGGUUCGAAAUUGAAAGGCGGCUUCGGCUGUCACUUAUGGAUGGACCCGCGUCGCAUUAGCUAGUUGGUGAGGUAACGGCUCACCAAGGCAACGAUGCGUAGCCGACCUGAGAGGGUGAUCGGCCACACUGGGACUGAGACACGGCCCAGACUCCUACGGGAGGCAGCAGUAGGGGAUCUUCCGCAAUGGACGAAAGUCUGACGGAGCAACGCCGCGUGAGUGAUGAAGGCUUUCGGGUCGUAAAACUCUGUUGUUAGGGAAGAACAAGUGCCAGUUGAAUAGGCUGGCACCUUGACGGUACCUAACCAGAAAGCCACGGCUAACUACGUGCCAGCCGCCGCGGUAA